rnacentral:rRNA from 1 species
GAUGAACGCUGGCGGCGUGCCUAACACAUGCAAGUCGAGCGAACGGACGAGAAGCUUGCUUCUUUGACGUUAGCGGCGGACGGGUGAGUAACACGUGGAUACUCUCCCUAUAAGACUGGGAUAACUUCGGGAAACCGGAGCUAAUACCGUAGGAUAUCCUGCACCGCGUGGUUCAAAAGUGAAAGACGGUCUUGCUGUCACUUAUAGAUGGAUCUCGGCUGCAUUAGCUAGUUGGUAAGGUCACGGCUUACCAAGGCAAGUCUGCGUAGCCGACGUGAGAGGGGGAUCGGCCACACGGGAGGUGAGACACGGUCCAGACGCCUGCGGGAGGCAGCAGAAGGGUAUCGUCCGCAAUGGGCGAGAGCCUGGCGGAGCAGGGCGGCGUGAGUGAUGAAGGUCUUGGGAGCGUAAAACUCUGUUACGAGGGAAGAACAUAUGUGGAAGUAACUGUGCAGAGCUUGACGGUACCGAGUCAGGAAGCAACGGCUAACUACGUG